rnacentral:rRNA from 1 species
UACGUAGGGUGCGAGCGUUUAAUCGGAAUUACUGGGCGUAAAGCGUGCGUAGGCGGUUCGUUAAGUUCGUUGUGAAAGCCCCGGGCUCAACCUGGGAACUGCAAUGGAAACUGGCGGGCUUGAGUGUGGCAGAGGGGGGUGGAAUUCCGCGUGUAGCAGUGAAAUGCGUAGAGAUGCGGAGGAACACCGAUGGCGAAGGCAGCCCCCUGGGCCAACACUGACGCUCAGGCACGAAAGCGUGGGGAGCAAACAGG